CUGGGAGAAUCCACCGCCAUGGUAAACUUCACAGUAGACCAGAUCCGGGCCAUCCUGGACAAGAAGGCCAACAUCCGUAACAUGGUCUGUCAUUGCCCACAUGGAUCAUGGCAAGUCCACCCUGACAGACUCCCUGGUGUGCAAGGCAGGCAUCAUUGCAUCAGCCCAGGCUGGGGAAACAUGAUUCACUGACACUCGGAAUAAAGAGCAGGAGUGUUGCAUCACCAUCAAGUCAACUGCCAUCUCCCUUUUCUAUGAGCUUUCUGAAAAUGACUUGAACUUCAUUAAGCAGAGCAAGGAUGGCUCUGGUUUCCUCAUCAACCUCAUUGACUCUCCUGGGCAUGUAGACUUUUCCUCAGAGGUGACAGCUGCCCUCCGAGUCACCGAUGGCGCCUUGGUGGUGGUGGACUGAGUGUCAGGCAUGUGUGUGCAGACAGAGACGGUGCUGAGGCAAGCCACUGCUGAGCGCAUCAAGCCUGUACUGAUGAUGAACAAGAUGGACUGUGCUCUGCUUGAGCUGCAGCUGGAGCCUGAGGAGCUCUACCAGACCUUCCAGCAUAUCAUGGAGAACGUGAAUGUCAUCAUCUCCACCUACAGGGAGGGCGAGAGUGGCCCCAUGGGCAACAUCGUGAUUGACCCUGUCCUUGGCACUGUGGGUUUUGGGUCUGGCCUCCAUGGUUGGGCCUUUACCCUGAAGCAGUUUGCAGAGAUGUACGUGGCCAAGUUUGCAGCCAAGGGCGAGGGUCAGCUUGGGCCAGCUGAGCGGGCCAGGAAAGUGGAGGACAUGAUGAAGAAGCUGUGGGGUGACCGGGACUUUGACCCAGCCAAUGGCAAAUUCAGCAAGUCAGCCACCAGCCCUGACGGAAAGAAGCUUCCACAGACGUUCUGUCAGCUCAUCUUAGAUCCUGUCUCCAAGGUGUUUCACGCAAUCAUGAAUUUCAAGAAAGAGGAGACAGCAAAACCGAUUGAAAAAUUGGACAUCAAGUUGGACAGUGAAGAUAAGGACAAAGAAGGCAAACCUCUGCUGAAGGCUGUGAUGCGCCGCUGGCUGCCUGCCGGGGAUGCCCUGUUGCAGAUGAUCACCAUCCACCUGCCUUCCCCCGUGACGGCCCAGAAGUACCCUGUGAACUUCUGUACAAGGGCCCCCUCAAUGAAAUCAAGGACAGCGUGGUGGCUGGCUUCCAGGGGGCCACCAAGGAGGGAGCACUGGGUGAAGAGAACAUGCGGGGUGUGCGCUUUGAUGUUCAUGAUAUGACGUUGCAUGCAGAUGCCAUCCCCCGUGGGGGUGGACAGAUCAUCCCCACAGCCCGGCGCUGCCUGGAUGCCAGUGUUCUGACUGCCCAGCCCUGGCUCAUGGAGCCCAUCUACCUUGUGGAAAUACAAUGUCCAGAACUAGUGGUUGGUGGCAUAGGGAAGCGGGGCCAUGUCUUCGAGGAGUCCCGGGUGGCUAGCACCCCCAUGUUUACGGUUAAAGCCUACCUCCCCGUCAAUGAGUCCUUUGGCUUCACUGCCGACUUGAAGUCCAACACAGGUAGCCAGGCCUUCCCCCAGUGCGUGUUUGACCACUGGCAGAUCCUGCCCAGAGACCCCUUUGACCACACCAGUCGCCCCAGCCAGGUUGUGGCGCAGACCCAUUAAGCUCAAAGGCCUGAAGGAAGGCAUCCCAGCCCUGGACAACUUCCUGGACAAAUUGUAGGCUACCCCUGCCGCAGCGCCCCCCACUUCAGUGGGAUGGGCUCAGCACCCACACUCAGUUUGACCACAGCAACACAUCCUCAUUCUCAGACAACACCUUGAGACUGUCCCAACACGACACAGUGAUGCUCCACCUGAGAGAUGCUGGGGCCAUCGCUCAACGUUAACACUUGAUGCCGUUUCUUUUGAUAUUUAUUUCCAGAUUGCGAGAGCAGCAGAAAUGCCUUCUUCAUAGGGACUGAUUUGGCCAGUGGGGCAGAGGGAGGAGGGAUGGGACACUCAACUUUUUUUUUCCAUUUCUUCAGAGGAAAACUCAGAUGUCUAAAAAUUUUUAAAUGAACGCAUUAAGAGGUAUAUUUGGGCAAAUGGUCCUUAGUGGUUUUUCCCCCCAGAAAGGAGAAAGGAACAGCGGGUAGGUAAUUUCUAGAAGGCAGGGAGUCCUGUGUGGUGUGACCAUGAGCAACUCCAGCUGUGUUAGUGCCAUUGAAAUAAUAAAAUUGAUCCGGUGGUGACUUCAAAAAAAAAAAAGAAAGAAAGAAUAAGACACAGUAGGUGGCACAUGUGGCUAAGGAAUAGGGCGCUGGCCCCACAUAUUGGAGGUGGCGGGUUCAAACCCGGCCUCAGCCAAAAACUGCAAAAAAAAGAAUAAGACACAGAGGUGGCGCUUGUAGCCAGAGGGUUCGAAUCUGGCCCAGACCUGCCAAACAAUGACAACUACAACCAAAAAAUAGCCGGGUGUUGUGGCAGGCGACUGUAGUCCCAGCUACUUGGGAGGCUGAGGCAAGAGAAUUACUGAAGCCCAAGAGUUUGAGGUUGCUGUGAGCCGUGAUGCCAUGGCCCUCUACCCAGGGCUAUAGCUUGAGGCUCUGUUUUAAAAAAAGAAAGAAAAGACACAGUAAAGCCAGAGAUUCAAAGUUCCUGCUAUCGGCUUUGCAAACUACUGUGGUGAAGUCAGUCUGCCCUUCCUCUACGCCUUAUGAAACCAUCUCCCUGUACACUACCUUCCUGAGAUAACAGAUAACAGUAGGUGACAUUUAUUUUAAAAAUAAAAUACAUAGCCGGGCAUUGUGGCGGGUGCCUGUAGUCCCAGCUGCUUGGGAGGCUGAGGCAAGAGAAUCACUUAAGCCCAGGAGUUGGAGGUUGCUGUGAGCUGUGUGAGGCCACAACACUCUACCGAGGGCCUUAAAGUGAGACUCUGUCUCUACAAAAAUAAAUAAAUUAAUUAAAAAAAAUAAAUAAAAAUAAAAUACAAUAAAUAUAUAUUCUUUACAUGUAUUAUCUAACUUUUACAUAAAAUCUGAUUUCUUUCCUGAUAUUUUUAUGACUUAAAUUUAACUUCUUGAACAGCUAACACUUUCACGUUGUUCAAAUUCAAAAAACCCUAAUUCUCUCUCCUCCUCCUAUCCUGCAAGUACCAGGUCACCCUCCCCACUAGUGACUAAUGCUAACAGUUUCUUGUGCACCUUUCCUGAGAUAUUUUAAGCCUAUACAAAUUAAUACGUGUAUAUGUCCUCCUCCUUCUUUUGACACAAAUGGUAGCACAAUCCACUCUUCUGUGCCUGUUUUUUCACUUUAUUUAUCUUGGAGAGUUUCCCAUAUCAGUACAUAAAGUACUCCACAGCACUCACCACUGUGCAGCUGUACCAUCACUGAUUCAAGCAUUUCCCAAUUAAUGGACACUUAGGCUGUUUGCAAUAUAUGUCAAUUUGAAAAUGUGUCAAGUAGAUCUGUUGUCAUCUAAUCCCCACAACAACCCCAGAAGUAGGUACUAUUAUUAUCCUCGUUCAACAGAAGAGGAAAACAGUUAACAGAAUUCACAGCUCGACCACAGACCCAGGAGAAGUAUGCAAACCCAGGUUCACCUGCCUGAAAUUCUUAAACCACAUCAGAAAUGACCACAAUCUCCAAUAAUACAUAAUUCUACCUAGGCCUAAGAAUA